rnacentral:rRNA from 1 species
AGCGAACGCUGGCGGCGUGCCUAACACAUGCAAGUCGAACGUGAAAAGGGAAACCUGAGUAAAGUGGCGUACGGGUGAGUAACGCGUAGGUAAUCUACCCCAGAAUCUGGAAUAACCUGCCGAAAGGCGGGCUAAUACUGGAUAGAGCGAGGGAACUCGUAAGAGAGUUUUUCGGGAAAGGGAGCCCGCAAGGGCCUUCGUUCUGGGAUGAGCCCGCGUCUCAUUAGCUAGUUGGUAAGGUAACGGCUUACCAAGGCGAUGAUGGGUAGCUGGUCUGAGAGGAUGAUCAGCCACACUGGAACUGAAACACGGUCCAGACUCCUACGGGAGGCAGCAGUGGGGAAUCUUGCGCAAUGGACGAAAGUCUGACGCAGCCACGCCGCGUGAGUGAAGAAGGCCUUCGGGUUGUAAAGCUCUGUCGGAUGGGACGAACAUCUUCAUAGUGAAUAGCUAUGAGGACUGACGGUACCAUCAAAGGAAGCACCGGCUAACUCCGUG